CCGAAAAUACAAAUUAAUGGAUUAUGAGUUUAUGCUGAUGAGCGUAUUUAAGCAAACCGCAUUACACUAAGCUAUCUUGCUACUAUACAAACAAACAAAUGUCAAUAUUGUUUACACUACAGCGGGCGAUUGCCUUUGUUCAAGCGCGCUGUUGUGUAUGCGUGCGGUGCUGGUUGUACCUCAGGGCAAGCAUAUGCUGAGCAGAGGCCAUUUAAUUUGCACACCCGCACGCAAGCAGGGAAAGAAAAUACGUAUUUUAUCCGCGCAAACGGAUAAAAACGGCAAAAAUAAAAACAAAAACCCAAAUAGUGGGAAUACAUGUUGCCUGCCACAUAGUGUGAAUGAAAAGGAGAAGAAUGUAUUUGCCUAUUGAACGACCACUGUUCUUGCGCUGUUCCCCACCAGGCCAUUUAGGGGUGCGUACAAAUAUUGAGAACACUAAUCCAACAGUCGAAGUCUGUUCCCAGCAUAGCAUGCGUGUGAUAAGAGACUAUUACCAUCACAGUUUGCUACUACAUACAUUCAUACUCGUCGCUCGGUCUUCGGUGUACGGCGUUCGGCACUUAGCAUUUUCCACUUUGACCUAUACAUCGCACAGCAGCAGUGUUCACUGCUUUGGCGUUUGCAAACUUCAGCUGCGAACGAUAAAAUCGACGGUAUGUGAUUGUUUUGAUUCAGUUGAAGCGGGUUUCUAGUGAUGUACGGUUGUUAGCAGCAACAAGUAUUGCAUUUUGCGGCAACGAGGCAAAUUUGCCAAAUUCAAAAUGUGCUAUGUGGUGAAUGUAUAACAUAACUGUAAAGAAGGAUUAAAUUUUGAAAAAAAAAUUAAAUAAAAAUAUAAUGAAACAAACGCAUGAAAUAUUGCGUGAAAAUGUUUGAAGGGAUUAUGUGUGCGUGAGGAAAAACAGUGAAAAUGUCCAUGGCUAUGAAUUUGAAUAGUUUUAAAAAAUAAAUAAUUGAGAAAAGCGCUGUAAUACUCGUACAACUGAAAUUCUGUGCUUUUAUAUGGGAGUAAAUUGCACAUUUCUUAAACAAAAAUAAGCAAAAAAAAUUGUAAAAAAAACCUUUACUGCAUUGGUGUACUUAGAUUGAAGAAAAAAACAAAAAAUGUUUUACAAAUCUGCUUAACAGAAAAUUACUGCAUAAAUUGAUCGAAAUAUUUAACUUGUGAGUGCAAAUACCCGCUCAAUCUUAAUAUAAAAAAGUGCUGACUUUUGGAUUACGCUAACACUUUCCAAGGGUUACACAUUUUGCAUUUAUCGAACUGUUUCAAUGUCAAGUGUCUCGUGAUUUCAGGUAAGAAUUUAUUAUUAUUAUUAUUUAAUUAUUAUCUUAAUCAUAUUAUUUAAUCUAAAAUUUUAAGACUAAUUGAUAAAAAGAGCACCAGCCAGAGUUAAAAUGUAAAAUCUUCAUCUGUAAAAUAUAAAUUGGGAAACUCUAUUACGAAUGCAGGCCAUUAAAAAAAAUUUGAGCCAGGUUAAAGUUGCACUUUAUAAAAAUAAAAUUUAGUACCCUAUA